rnacentral:rRNA from 1 species
UGAGGAAUAUUGGUCAAUGGACGCAAGUCUGAACGAGCCAAGUAGCGUGCAGGAUGACGGCCCUAUGGGUUGUAAACGGCGUUUAUAUGGGGAUAAAGUGGGGAACGUGUUCCCUUUUGCAGGUACCAUAUGAAUAAGGACCGGCUAAUUCCGUGCCAGCAGCCGCGGUAAUACGGAAGGUUAGGGAGUUAUCCGGAUUUAUUGGGUUUAAAGGGAGCGUAGGCCGUUUGGUAAGCGUGUUGUGAAAUGUAGGAGCUCAACUUCUAGACUGCCUCGCGAACUGUCUGACUUGAGUGCGCUCCACGUAGGCUGAAUUCAUGGUGUAUCGGUGAACUGCUUAGAUAUCAUGAAGCCCUCCGAUUGCGCAGGCAGCUUACGGGAGCGCAAAUGACGCUGAAGCUCGAAGGUGCGGGUAUCGAACAGG